GCUAUGCACAUUACCGCUGGCCAAAACAGUGUUCUUGGAUAAAUGGAUAAAGCAUGAUAAACCAAAAAAAAACUGAACAGUAAACUUUUGUUUUACCGUGGUGUGGCGGGUGCGUAUCAUUUGAGAAACUUCGUAAGUUUUACAGCUCCAGAAAUAUUCUGUGGUUAUCUCUUAUAUAAUUCAGAAAUAUGGCUAUCGAUAAACAAUACUUCAAAUUGCCAAGUUUCCCCCUGAUGGCUUUUAUAAUAGCUGGUCUAAUACUACUAUUUUGUGCCUUCUUUGAUCCGAAUGUAAUUCCGUACAGUUAUCUUGGACCCCUCGGAGUGUUUGUCAAGUACCUUGUUACUGAUUGGCCAAUCGUAAUUAAUAUUUUGGUGAUUUUUACAAUAUUAAGCCAUGCAGUGGAGGCUUAUUUUUCGUAUUAUAUUGCAGUUAAUAAAGGUCUUGAAAGCCCAGCCACUUACAAAUGGUGCAUGGCCGUCGGUUCCUUUGGAUACUUUGCGUACCGGCAUCUACUUGCUUACGAGCCAGACAAAGACAAGUGAUUUAUGAUGGUAUCCUAUCUUCAAUUGAAAAUUUAACAAGAGGAUCAGGAGCAUAAAGGGCCAAUAUAUCUGAUGCUGUCAAUUGCUUGAACAAUCUAGAAUUUUUCAAUCUAUGUAAUUUAAAAUUAAUGCAAUACCUCAUCAGUAUUAAGUGUAUCUUUUUAGAAUUAACAUGGAGUUAUAAUUAAAACUCCUUGAUUUGAUUUUUCUAAUACUGUACUCUCACUAUUGGGUGUAACUCAGGAUGCAACAAUAAUUGAUUAAUAAUAAAUUAAAUAAAAAUUAAUAUUUCAACAAGUGAAUUGAUGUCAUUAAUUUAUAUAUUAUCUUAGAAUAGAAUAAAGUGUUGAUUGUACGUUUGACCUCAAAAAUUCAACUCGUGACAGACGGUACAUCUUUUAAUUAUUCUGUUCAGCGUUUUUACCAUUAGCAUCGAGUACAAAUUCUAAUAUUUAAUUACAUUUAUUUAAUAUUUAGCUCAAUAAAUAAAUAAAUAAAUUUAUAUUUACAUAUUCCAGAGUGCCUAGCUAUCAGCUUUAAACUAAGUUGCAGUAAACAGUGGAGGAUCAAUGUGGAUUCUUGCCUGUUGAAGUUACAACCCUGCAUUUUUUUCUGAUCACUUGAUCUGUGUUCACAUUGGUUUUGAUUUUGGUCAAACUAACCAUGUAUUGUAGCAUUCUCCUUGGUCAAAUUAAAUACACAAUUGGCAUUUUUAAUAAUAUACUUGUAAUCCUCUCUACAAUAUCUUUUACUAAAGCAGGGCCUAGGCAGUGGUGGUGCCAGCAGAAGCAGGGGAAUCGGACAGGCCUGGACCUCCUGUCGUCCGACACACAACUGUUCAUACAGAUGAUGUAGUAAUUAAUCAGUGUUCCUCUUUCUUUGAAGGUAGAAAUCUUUAAAAAAAAGGAAAAGCGAUUAGAUUGCAUGUCUUCCAUAGGUAUACGCUUUAAAAUACAAGUGUUGAUUUGGUAUGCAUUAAGUAGCACUACCUUAUAUGUAUGUUAAUGUUCACCUUGUUAUUAAAGAUAAAAAAAGGUUAAUUUAUAAA